AAGCCUUAUAGUCUAUUUAGGAUACUAAAGUGCAAAUUUAUUGGAGGGGACUGCCCUAAGGCUUA
rnacentral:tRNA from 1 species